rnacentral:rRNA from 1 species
AACGAACGCUGGCGGCAGGCCUAACACAUGCAAGUCGAGCGGGGACUUCGGUCCUAGCGGCGGACGGGUGAGUAACGCGUGGGAACGUGCCCUUUGCUUCGGAAUAGCCCCUGGAAACGGGGAGUAAUACCGGAUGUGCUCGAGAGAGGAAAGAUUUUUCGGCAAAGGAUCGGCCCGCGUUGGAUUAGGUAGUUGGUGGGGUAAUGGCCUACCAAGCCGACGAUCCAUAGCUGGUUUGAGAGGAUGAUCAGCCACACUGGGACUGAGACACGGCCCAGACUCCUACGGGAGGCAGCAGUGGGAAUAUUGGACAAUGGGGGCAACCCUGAUCCAGCCAUGCCGCGUGAGUGAAGAAGGCC